rnacentral:rRNA from 2 species
GGAUGCGAUCAUACCAGCACUAAAGCACCGGAUCCCAUCAAAACUCCGAAGUUAAGCGUGCUUGGGCGAGAGUAGUACUAGGAUGGGUGACCUCUUGGGAAGUCCUCGUGUUGCAUUCC